rnacentral:rRNA from 1 species
GAUGAACGCUAGCUACAGGCUUAACACAUGCAAGUCGAGGGGAAACGCCAUUGAAGCUUGCUUCGAUGGUCGUCGACCGGCGCACGGGUGAGUAACGCGUAUCCAACCUGCCUCUGACCAAGGGAUAACCCGUCGAAAGUCGGCCUAAUACCUUAUGCAGUCGUCGGAAGUCAUCUGAUGACGACGAAAGAUUUCAUCGGUGAGAGAUGGGGAUGCGUCUGAUUAGCUUGUUGGCGGGGUAACGGCCCACCAAGGCAACGAUCAGUAGGGGUUCUGAGAGGAAGGUCCCCCACAUUGGAACUGAGACACGGUCCAAACUCCUACGGGAGGCAGCAGUGAGGAAUAUUGGUCAAUGGGCGAGAGCCUGAACCAGCCAAGUAGCGUGCAGGAUGACGGCCCUAUGGGUUGUAAACUGCUUUUAUGCGGGGAUAAAGUGAGGGACGUGUCCUUCAUUGCAGGUACCGCAUGAAUAAGGACCGGCUAAUUCCGU